GGAAGACGCGUUACUCUUCUCCCCCCUCCCUCCUACUCCUGUGGCCGUUUGAGCGGUUGAGGAAAAGGGCAAGAAGGAAUCGUAGGUCUUUUCGGGAAAGAGUCGCUGUAUCCUGGCUCUUUCGCCCCCCGCCCUCCCCAGCCUCUCGGCCUGCGCCUCCCGGUGAGGGGACACUUUUCUUCUCCGUCUUCUCCGGAUCUGCCCUUCUUCAGGAGCUGCAUAAUCCGCCCUUUUAGGUCUCUUGUUAAUGCUGAAGAUUUCCGGCCGUUGCCCCCGUGACUCGCCUCAGGGCCCAGGUAAUUUUUAUCAUGGAUUGUGAAGAAAUUCCAGCGUUUUCAACUUCAGUGGAAGAAGCUGCAUACUGGAAAGAGCUGACUUUAAAAUAUAAACAAAGUUUUCAAGAGGCCCAUGAAGAGCUGGCAGAAUUUCAGGAAGGCAGCAGAGAACUGGAAGCAGAAUUAGAGGCCCAACUGGUACAGGCUGAACAAAGAAACCGAGAUUUACAAGCAGACAACCAAAGAUUAAAACAGGAAGUGGAAACCUUAAAGGAAAAACUUGAACACCAGUAUGCACAAAAUUAUAAGCAAGUGUCUUUAUUGGAAGAUGACUUGAGCCAGACUCGGGCAAUUAAAGACCAAUUGCAUAAAUAUGUAAGAGAGCUAGAACAAGCCAAUGACGAUCUUGAGCGUGCAAAAAGGGCCACAAUUGUUUCUUUGGAAGAUUUUGAACAAAGGCUGAAUCAAGCCAUAGAGAGAAAUGCUUUUUUGGAAAGCGAACUGGAUGACAAGGAAUCUCUGCUAGUUUCUGUGCAAAGACUGAAAGAUGAAGCUAGAGAUUUAAGGCAAGAACUAGCAGUACGAGAAAGACAACAAGAAGUAACUAGGAAAUCUGCUCCUAGUUCCCCAACCCUGGAUUGUGAAAAGAUGGAUUCAGCAGUCCAAGCUUCACUGUCCCUGCCAGCAACACCUGUUGGGAAAGGCUGUGAAAACAGUUUUCCAAACUCUCCAAAAGCUAUUCCCAAUGGCUUUGGUACCAGCCCCCUUACUCCAUCUGCCCGAAUAUCAGCUCUCAAUAUUGUGGGUGAUCUUCUACGAAAAGUGGGGGCUUUAGAAUCCAAAUUAGCUGCUUGUAGGAACUUUGCAAAGGACCAGGCUUCACGUAAAUCAUAUGUUGCAGGAAACAUAAAUAGCAGUAUGAUCAACAGCAAUGGCAUGAAGUUCUGUCAUCCAGGACAUACAACAUUUUAUGACAAAGCCCCCUGUAGUGUUCUCCCUGCCCCCAAUUGUCGCUGGAUCCUGAAACAGCCACGUUUGCUUAUGGACCCGACCCAAUCUGCUGCUGCUGCCUUAUGAAUGGCCUAUAGUUGGGUGGUGGGACUGACUGAGGUCAGAUUCCCUACAUAUUUCAUGGGCUUGUUUCUCUUCUGGCCCCUUGAUGAAAUAAGGCAAAAUGAAAUCUAAAACAGAUACCAAGGAUUUUAUGAUAAAAUGUUUUAUUUCGUGAUUUGAAACCAUCUCUUUUAUACCAUCAGUGAUACCAAGAAAUAUUCCAAAAGAUCAGCACCAUGAGGUAAAAGUGACUGGUGAACAUACCACAAAGAAUAAUCACUUUUACAAGCUGAUUCAAAAAUGUCUUCAAACGACAAUGUUAGUUAAGGCUCAACCAUGAAUAAGAUUAUUAUUUUAUAGAGGCAUUGAAUUAUAUAGUUACUAUCAUUUAUUUAUUCAUUCAAUUUAAGCACAACCCAACUCCCAGACUAACACUGAGCAAGUUGCAAUAAAAUUAAACAGAAUGUGCAAAAUAAAUACAGAAAAGAUAAGUACAAAGAAAAAUAAAGAACAAAUGGCAACAGCCUCCACACAUACAAACAUGUGAUUGGGCUCCAGCCAUUCUAACCCAAGGCCUGGGAGAACAAGUAGGUCUUUAAGGCGUUCUGGAAUGCCAUCAGUAUAGAAUGCCACCAGCAGAAUUCCACUUCAGAGGUCAGAGUCUACUACAGAGAAGGCAUGGUUCCUGGGUCCCAUAUAUGUAACACUGUUUAAUUGAAGGGAUCUGAAUCUCGCCAACCUUAUCGGCUCUCAUUAGCCACAGAAGACAGGCAGUCCCUCAAAUAAAACAGGUCAUAAAAGCAGCUUAAUCACUCCCAUAAGCAUAAUGGUGUACUUUGUGGAAUAAGGGUGGCAUAUGGGCAUACUGAGACAUGCCCUUCACUGCCCACACCACUGCAUUCUGGAGCCGUUGAAGUUUCCAAGUGGUCUUCAAGGGCAGCCCCAUGUAGACACAGAAUUGCCACAAUCAAGCUGCAAGUUAACUAGGGCAUAAGUAACUGUCUGGCAUAUGGGAAGCUCCUGUAAUUGAUUAUUGUAGAAGUUGGAAUUGAAUGGGCACUUAACUAAAACAAAAUAUUUGCAUGCUUUGCUUGUUUCUUGUUUUAAUCUGCAGGCAUCUAAACAAACUUUUGAGAGUUAUAUAACUGCUUGCAGCACAACUUUUUAAUAAUUUACUAAAUUAUAGAAGUUGACGAGUACCAGAUCAAUUUUUAAAACACUUCAUUCUAGAAAAAAAUAAUUCAUAAGGAUUUCUUUACAGUUUUCUGCAAAGUGACCAUAAUUUCCACUGAAUAAAUUGGGAGAUCUGGUGGAUCAUUUGUUCUGUCUUCUUUCUGAUACUAUACGUUGUGUUACUAGCAGUCUUUAUUAGUACUAUUGCCUGCCAUGAGUUGAUUGGUAUGGAAUCUAUAGUCUCAAGUGUAGCUGGAUAGGUGUUUUCAAUUACAGUUUUUUAUUACAGUUUUUUCUUUUUUUGUUUGUGUUUCAGUUCUUGACAAUUUGUAUUGCUUAACAGUGUGGCUUCCUCAUUGUUUAAUAGUAAGAAUGGAUCUUUUUACUUUUCUCAGGGUAGCUUUAGAGUACCAGGAAAAUAGGGAAAAAAAUAUCCAAUAUUUUUAUCACUAUCAUUUAGCUUGUUCUGGGAAAACCCAGCUGCUCUUGGAUGUCAUUGUUAUACUUGCUAAGUUUGAUGCUUUAUAGCUGGUGAAUUAGAGCUGAUGAAUUGUACAACUGAUCAAUAUAGGCUAACAGUUUUGAUUCUAUUCCAACCCAUACUUUAUAAAUUUCCUUACUUGAGAUAUAGCUUCUAGCUGCAAUCUUGAUUAAAAUAGGUAGGGUCCAGUUAGUGUAAUGUUACUGGGGAAAUGUUUUUCGUCAGAAUUUAGAAUUUCAUUUCAGUGAUACGUUUAUAUUUUUGUUAUAUAGUUGCGCAAUGCAUUUUAAGAUUUGAAAACAAUC